CGACUCUCUUUUUCUUAUCCAGGGUGUUGAAUGUAAAUGAAGAGAAGUGAAAAUAAGUCGCUGUUAAAGUAACAAGGAAAGUUGAUGAUGAGAGCUGUACUCUGCAGUCACCCUGACACCUAGUUGGGGUGGUGGAGACCUAAAGGAUUUCCUGAUGCUUUCCUUGACUUAAAGGAGCACAUACUGAGUAGUACCGUUAUAGCAUCUUUAUUUGUUCCUUUCUCCAUUUGUGUUCCUUUCUAGACAAUGGGAAUCUAUGACUCGGGGAUAACUCUGAGACACUUGGGGACGUAUCACUCAGGGAUAACUCUGAGGAUGCCGGUGGGCGGAGUUGGGAGGGUCAUCAGCUACAUGGGAAACACCUGGGCCAGGUGUGUCCCAGGAUAUAAUCACCACUUCCCCAUUCAUAGGGGAGACUCUCUCCAUGCAGACACCUUUCUAGAUUUUGUUGUGUUUCUUGGUGGCCUUUUGGUUGUUUGCUUUGGCACCUUUCAACACCCUGCAAUAUCACAUUUAUACAUGAAAAACACUCACUUACACUACUGAUUACUGAUUACACACACCAUUGUAUAUUGUACUUAGUUUACUUUAUUUAAUAAAUAUAUGUUUUGU